GUUCAGAUGUCUUAGCUGUUAGAGCGUCUGCUUAGCAUGCAUACCCUCUCAGGUUCAAAUCUCGAUCUGAGCC